GACCGGAAAUAUGCAAACCCUUGUCACUUCCGGAAACUCCGGACGACCCAAAUCAAGGGAAAUCUGCAGCAGGUGUGUCCAAUGAGGUGGCGAUUGCAGACAGGGCAGUUCAUGAGUAUAAAGAGGGCAUCGAGGAUACAGGAAGGUGUUGUUUUUGCCUCCCAAGGAACGCCACGAGUGGGACGGAGUGUUUGGGCGCUGGAGUAGGGCGAAGCAGAUGAGAGUAAUUGUGGAGUCGCUAAGCGAAUUGGAGGAUUUGAAAACGGCCACUGGAACAGGUUUGCCAAAGUGAAGUUUAUGGAAAGAAGUCGUACUCACUUGUGUCUGUUGUACGAAGGUGCCGGAGAGAAAUAGUGACAUUGUGGAACAACGAAGACAUUUCUGGGCGUCUGUACGAAGCUGGGGAGAGAAAGAGAGCGGGAGGAGACAAGUAUUACGAAGACUGUGAGUACAUUGGAUUGCUUGGAUUGUUGUCUUAUAUCUGGAUGAGAAAGAGAGCGGGAGAAGAUCAGUAUCACGAAGACUGUGAGUACAUUGGAUUGCUUACAUAUCACUGCUCAUACUUGGAUAUGGAUAACAAAUACCUGUUGGAGUGAUUAAUAGCUUGUUGAGCGGCCCCAUCGUUGGAGGACGAGACGAGUGGGUGAGCUGAAGUAGAGCGUGGGUGAAUGGAUGUUAUUUGGCUGUGGCCACACCGUAAAGUUUGGAGCACUUACUGUGACAGCGACUGCAAAUUCCUCCAGGACGAAAUCCGACCGGGUGUGGAGUACCGACCUUAAAAAUCACUGAAGUGUGUAGUGCAGUGGGUGAGUCUGUCUUUGACGUGUGUACACUAAAGCUUUGCAGUGCUGUGCCGUGUCCCUGUUGUCUGUACUUGCCCUCCAGGCCGAGAAAAGUUCCUGUGGAAAGAACGUAGGCUGCCGUGGCGGUGCCCACCUAUCCCACCUACGCCCGCCUAUAACUCCGUUCUCCGGACCCAGCUCGAAGGUGAAGUGUGAAAGCAAAACAAGGUAUUGUGCGGAUAUUGUGGGAAAAGCUAUUGCCCUUGAAUACGCUCUGUAAGCCCAGCGAGAAGAUACAGCCACUUGUUGAAUACUUACCUGUCUGUACGAGCUAAAAGCUAUUGCCCUUGAAUACGCUCUGUAAGCCCAGCGUGAAGAUACAGCCACUUGUUGAAUACUUACCUCUCUGUACGAGCUAAAAGCUAUUGCCCUUGAAUACGCCCUGUAAGCCCAGCGUGAAGAUACAGCCACUUGUUGAAUACUUACCUGUUUGUACGAGCUAAAAGCUACCGACCUUGAAUACGCCCUGUAAAGCCCAGUGUGAAGAUACAGCUACUUGUUGAAUACGUAUCCGCCUGCAUGAGUUAAAAGCCAUUGCUCUGGAACCCGCUCAGUAAGCCUAGUGUGAAGAGUCAGUCACCUUGCUCUAUCUAUCUGUGAUACGAGUAAAAAGUUACUCGCUUCGGAUAUACCGGUGGACAUCCAGGGGCAUGGCCUAGUUACUUUGCUACAUCCUUAUCGUUGUUCCUUACCUGUGCCCUCAGGGAUUUGGGUGUUACCUUAUAUCUACCUAGGAGGUCUAUGGGAGUGGAGGAGCUGUCCAGACGCUGGAGAAGAGAAGGGCGCCACGGGAAAUCAAGCAGUUAAGGAAGGAUUUAGGAGUAGUCAGGAGACUGGUGGAAGUUCUGGGAAAGGACGGAAGAGCCCUUGCCCCCCCCCCUCCCCUGGUGAUUACUUACCAAAGACCUCCAGAGUUCUCAGGCCCAGUCCCCUCCUGUCAAGAGACGAAAACCAAAGUUUUAGAUUCCCCUUUUCUCCUUUCCUAGAUUACCUUUUUAAAUAAUUUAAAUAAAGUUGUUUUAAAUUCCCUUCACUCAUCUUGUGUGUCUGGUCCUUGGGGUGAUUUUGGGACCUCCUCGAGGUGGAAGUCGGGAAGGGGCGUGACUCGCAACACCUGUGGUCCGCUCCGACCUGUGACAGAUUUUGGCGUAGUCGGCAGGGUUCCACCUCGAGUGGAGCGACCAAGGUCCCCCAAUGGCCGACAACGAGUUGCCAGGAGUCCCGCCCCGAGUCAUGCCUGUGUUUAUGGGAAGCCCAUGGGUCCAGAAAUAUGGCGGCACCGAAUCAGAGGUGAGACUAUCUGAAUGGAGAGCCCAGAUUGAGUAUUUGGCCGGGCUUCAAGGGUUGAGUGCAGUCCAACAGCUACAGUUUGUACUGAACUCCUUGGAAGGGGAAGCGCGGCGCGAAGUCCAGGCCGCCCCGGAAGCUGUGCGGGCUACGGCCCAGUCCGUCUUUAACUUCCUGUCCGAGCAAUACGGAGACACCACCCCCGUUGCCGUCCUCCGAGCCCAGUUCUUUAGUUGUAAACAAGGACCCCGGCAGCCUAUACGAGCCUAUGCACUACGACUUCGGGAGCAGCUCACCAGAUUGCAAAAAUGUCCGGAUCACGGCCUGGAGGACGGAGAGAUCCUUCUGAGGGAUCAGUUCCUACUAGGACUGCGGGAAGGCCCAGUGCGGCAGAGCCUACGGGUACAGUUCCGAAGAGAUCCUGAACUGACGUUUGAAGAUCUGAAGAAGGAGGCAGUUGCCUUAGAGCUCGACCAGGUUGAGGUUAAAGAUUCCCCUGUGUGUGCGGCCGUAAGUAGUAGUGCAGCUGCCCCUCCCGAAGUGGAUUGGAAACAGACAUUAAGGACCGAGCUCAUGAAGGAUGUCCGUGAACAGAUGAAAGAGCUGUCUAAAACGCUGUUGGAGGAAUUGCGGCAGGGGGCCCCUAGCCAGGAGGUAAGGCACGCCCCUCGAGAGCGAGCGUAUUCCGAUGGUGGCCGGGACCCGGGGAGACGAUUGAGUCGGCCGGCUCGCCCACGCUUUGAAUGGGACGAACAGGGGCGACCCAUCUGCAACCGUUGUGGGGAGGCCGGACAUUAUAGCCGACAGUGCGGACCUCGAAGAGGCUCGAUGGGGGGUUUUUAGGACGACCGGCCACAGUGGGUCAUGUGGUCGGGCCCCCUUUAGAAGACCCAUCUCGAACAACGGAUUCGAAGGGCGGAUUGAUUGGACGGAGUCCGGUGGUGGAAGCGAAGGUAUGCGGUGUUAAAAUAUCCUGUUUGGUGGACACUGGAUCCCAGGUCACCUUGUUUUCUGAAAGCCUGUCACGAGAAGUAUUUGGCCAACGGAGUAUGAAAGGAAGCGACCCCUCAUGGCUGACCUUAAAGGGGGCAAAUGGAUUGGACAUCCCGUACAUCGGGUACGUUGUGGCUGAUGUAGAGAUUCGUGGAAUCGUUGUACCCCAGAAGGGGAUUGUGGUAGUCCAGGAUCACUGCUUGGGGACUCAUCGAGCCCUGCUGGGGAUGAAUGUGAUCGCCGAGUGCUGGGAAGAAUUGUUUCAGGCAAGGCCUGUGAAGACGAUCCCCCUGGCAGAACAACAAGAAUGGAGGCGAAUUGUUGCUGACUGCCGUCGAAUUCAGACGGCGAGGGUACGGAUGGAC
ensembl:lncRNA